rnacentral:rRNA from 1 species
AUACGUAGGGUGCGAGCGUUGUCCGGAAUUACUGGGCGUAAAGAGCUCGUAGGUGGUUUGUCGCGUCGUCUGUGAAAUUCCGGGGCUUAACUCCGGGCGUGCAGGCGAUACGGGCAUAACUUGAGUACUGUAGGGGAGACUGGAAUUCCUGGUGUAGCGGUGAAAUGCGCAGAUAUCAGGAGGAACACCGGUGGCGAAGGCGGGUCUCUGGGCUGUACCUGACGCUGAGGAGCGAAAGCAUGGGUAGUGACCAGGGUUAGAUACCCUGGUAGUCCAUGCCGUAAACGGUGGGCGCUAGGUGUAGGGGUCUUCCACGACUUCUGUGCCGUAGCUAACGCAUUAAGCGCCCCGCCUGGGGAGUACGGCCGCAAGGCUAAAACUCAAAUGAAUUGACGGGG